rnacentral:rRNA from 1 species
ACUCAAAUGAAUUGACGGGGACCCACACAAGCGGUGGAGCAUGUUGUUUAAUUCGACAUUAAACGAGAAACCUUACCCAGGUUUGACAUCCCGAGAACCCUGCAGAGAUGCGGGGGUGCCGCAAGGAACUCGGUGACAGGUGCUGCAUGGUUGUCGUCAGCUCGUGCCUUGAGGUGUCCGGUUAAGUCCGCGAACGAGCGCAACCCUUGUCCUGUGUUAUAUAUGUCACAGGAGACUGCCCUGGUUAACAGGGAGGAAGGCGAGGAUGACGUCAAAUCAGCAUGGCCCUUAUGCCUGGGGCUACUAACGUGCUACAAUGGGACAUACAAUGGGCGGCCAAGCGGUAACGCGGAGCUAAUCUCAUCAAAGUGUCUCUCAGUUCGGAUUGGGGGCUGCAACUCGACCCCAUGAAGUUGGAAUCGCUAGUAAUCGUGAAUCAGCUAUGUCACGGUGAAUAUGUUCCUGGGUCUUGUACACACCGCCCGU